GACGAACGCUGGCGGCGUGCUUAACACAUGCAAGUCGAACGGAAAGGCCCUCUUUUGGUGUACUGGUGUGGCGACCAGGUGGGUAAUACCUGAGUAAUCUACUCUUCUCUUUGUUAUAAUUUCUUGAAACUGGUGCUACUACUGGCUAGGAGCUCCUGCUGCUUGGUGGGGGGUGGUGAGAUUCGGCGGUUGGGGAUGGACUCGCGGCUUAUCAGCUUGUUGGUGGGGUAGUGGCUCACCAAGGCUUUGACGGGUAGCCGGCCUGAGAGGGUGACCGGCCACAUUGGGACUGAGAUACGGCCCAGACUCCUACGGGAGGCAGCAGUGGGGAAUAUUGCACAAUGGGCGGAAGCCUGAUGCAGCAACGCCGCGUGCGGGAUGACGGCCUUCGGGUUGUAAACCGCUUUCGCCUGUGACGAAGCGUGAGUGACGGUAAUGGGUAAAGAAGCACCGGCUAACUACGUG
rnacentral:rRNA from 1 species